rnacentral:rRNA from 1 species
UACGGAGGGUGCAAGCGUUAUCCGGAUUCACUGGGUUUAAAGGGUGCGUAGGUGGGCUGUUAAGUCAGUGGUGAAAUCUCCGGGCUCAACUCGGAAACUGCCAUUGAUACUAUCAGUCUUGAAUAUCGUGGAGGUAAGCGGAAUAUGUCAUGUAGCGGUGAAAUGCUUAGAUAUGACAUAGAACACCAAUUGCGAAGGCAGCUUGCUACCCGAAUAUUGACACUGAGGCACGAAAGCGUGGGGAUCAAACAGG